AACUAACGCUGGCGGCGUGCCUAAUACAUGCAAGUCGAACGAGGAAAGCCCUUCGGGGUGAGUAUGAGUGGCGCACGGGUGAGUAACACGUGGGUAAUCUGCCUUUUAGUGGGGAAUAACCCUCCGAAAGGAGGGCUAAUACCGCAUAAGACCACAGGUACUUCGGUACUAGGGGUUAAAGGCUUCGGUCGCUAAAAGAUGAGCCCGCGCCCGAUUAGCUAGUUGGUAGGGUAAUGGCCUACCAAGGCUGUGAUCGGUAGCUGGUCUGAGAGGAUGAUCAGCCACACUGGAACUGAGACACGGUCCAGACUCCUACGGGAGGCAGCAGUAGGGAAUAUUGCGCAAUGGGGGAAACCCUGACGCAGCGACGCCGCGUGAGCGAUGAAGGCCUUAGGGUCGUAAAGCUCUGUCGUAGAUGAAGAAAAAAAUGACGGUAAUCUAUAAGAAAGGACCGGCUAACUUCGUGCCAGCCGCCGCCGUAAAAC
rnacentral:rRNA from 1 species